GCCCUAAUAGUAUAAACCUAUUACUAUGGUCUUGUAAACCAAAAAUGAAGAACCAAUCUUCUUAGGACA